CCUACGGGUGGCAGCAGUGAGGAAUAUUGGUCAAUGGACGCGAGUCUGAACCAGCCAAGUAGCGUGAAGGAUGACUGCCCUAUGGGUUGUAAACUUCUUUUAUAUGGGAAUAAAAUGUUCCACGUGUGGGAUUUUGUAUGUACCAUAUGAAUAAGGCUCGGCUAACUCCGUGCCAGCAGCCGCGGUAAUACGGAGGAUCCGAGCGUUAUCCGGAUUUAUUGGGUUUAACGGGAGCGUAGGUGGAUUGUUAAGUCAGUUGUGAAAGUUUGCGGCUCAACCGUAAAAUUGCAGUUGAGACUGGCAGUCUUGAGUACAGUAGAGGUGGGCGGAAUUCGUGGGGUAGCGGUGAAAUGCUUAGAUAUCACGAAGAACUCCGAUUGCGAAGGCAGUUCACUGGACUGCAACUGACACUGAGGCUCGAAAGUGUGGGUAUCAAACAGGAUUAGAUACCCCAGUAGUC
rnacentral:rRNA from 1 species